AUUGAACGCUGGCGGCAGGCCUAACACAUGCAAGUCGAGCGGAGCGGCGGACGGGUGAGGAAGGCCUAGGAAUCUGCCUGGUAGUGGGGGAUAAAGUCCGGAAACGGGCGCUAAUACCGCAUACUAUCAGAUGAGCCUAGGUCGGAUUAGCAAGUUGGUUGGGUAAAGGCCUACCAAGGCGACGAUCCGGAACUGGUCUGAGAGGAUGAGCAGUCACACUGGAACUGAGACACGGUCCAGACUCCUACGGUAGGCAGCAGUGGGGAAUAUUGGACAAUGGGCGAAAGCCUGAUCCAGCCAUGCCGCGUGUGUGAAGAAGUUCUUCGGAUUGUAAAGCACUUUAAGUUGGGAGGCGUUACCAACAGAAUAAGCACCGGCUAACUUCGUGCCAGCCGCCGCGGUAAUUC
rnacentral:rRNA from 1 species